UAGGGAAUCUUCCGCAAUGGACGAAAGUCUGACGGAGCAACGCCGCGUGAGUGAAGAAGGAUUUCGGUUCGUAAAACUCUGUUGUUAGGGAAGAAAAAAUGUAUAGUAACUAUAUACAAAAGAGACGGUACCCAACCAGAAAGCCACGGCUAACUACGUGCCAGCAGCCGCGGUAAUACGUAGGUGGCAAGCGUUGUCCGGAAUUAUUGGGCGUAAAGCGCGCGCAGGUGGUUUAGAAAGUCUGAUGUGAAAGCCCACGGCUCAACCGUGGAGGGUCAUUGGAAACUAAUAAACUUGAGUGCAGGAGAGAAAAGUGGAAUUCCUAGUGUAGCGGUGAAAUGCGUAGAGAUUAGGAGGAACACCGGUGGCGAAAGCGGCUUUUUGGCCUGCAACUGACACUGAGGCGCGAAAGCGUGGGGAGCAAACAGG
rnacentral:rRNA from 1 species